UAUUAGUCAAUGGCCUAACGGCUGAACUGGCAACUUGGAGAAGUGGCAAGUCUUCCAGUAUGGGGAGCAAACAGCUAUGGGUCAAGCCCGAUACCUUUAAGAGAAGUCUUAUUGUGAGGGCGAGUUGUAUAACACCAUAGGGCUGGCCGUCCCAUAUGAAAAGAUUUUAUUAGAAUUGAAUGAAACUUUGUUUAUAUAUUGAUAAUGACAGUAUAUAUAUCGUGUCUUGACUAAUUGCGUGCCAGCAGUCGCGGUAAUACGUAAGAGACUAGUGUUAUUCAUCUUAAUUAGGUUUAAAGGGUACCCAGACGGUCUAUAUAGCUUAUAAAAUGUUAGUAUAAGACUAGAGUUUUAUGUAAGAGGGCAGUACUUGAGGAGGAGAGAUGAAAUUUCGUGAUACCAAAGGGACUCUGUAAAGGCGAAGGCAGCCCUCUAUGUAAAAACUGACGUUGAAGGACGAAGGCACAGAGAACAAACAGGAUUAGAUACCCAAGUAGUCUUUGCAGUAAAUGAUGAAUGCCAUAGGUUAGAUCUAUAUUUCUAUUAUAAUAAUACAUUUCUAUUAUUUAUUCUAAAACGCAUUCCUUAUAUAGCUUCGCGCUAUAAUAUAUUUUAUAUAUAGUGCAGCAGAAAUUAGAAAUUUUUGUAUCUGGUCUAUAAAUGAAAGUGUAAGCAUUUCACCUCAAGAGUAAUGUGGCAACGCAGGAACUGAAAUCACUAGACCGUUUCUGACACCAGUAGUGAAGUAUGUUAUUUAAUUC
rnacentral:rRNA from 1 species